rnacentral:rRNA from 1 species
UACGGAGGGUGCGAGCGUUGUCCGGAGUCAUUGGGCGUAAAGGGCGCGUAGGUGGCCUGCUAAGCGUGCGGUGAAAGUCGGGGGCUCAACCCCCGAUCGGCCGUGCGAACUGGGAGGCUUGAGCACUGUAGAGGCAGGCGGAAUUCCGGGUGUAGCGGUGGAAUGCGUAGAGAUCCGGAAGAACACCGGUGGCGAAGGCGGCCUGCUGGGCAGUUUUGCUGACACUGAGGCGCGACAGCGUGGGGAGCAAACAGG